rnacentral:miRNA from 1 species
GCUGAUCAGUAGUGGGAUUGCGCCUGUGAAUGGCCACUGCCCUCCAGCCUGGGCAACAUAGUGAGACUCCGUCUCUUAU